rnacentral:rRNA from 1 species
UACGUAGGGUGCAAGCGUUGUCCGGAAUUAUUGGGCGUAAAGAGCUCGUAGGCGGUCUGUCGCGUCGGCUGUGAAAUCCCGAGGCUCAACCUCGGGUCUGCAGUCGAUACGGGCAAACUUGAGUGUUGCAGGGGAGACUGGAAAUUCCUGGUGUAGCGGUGAAAUGCGCAGAUAUCAGGAGGAACACCGGUGGCGAAGGCGGUUCUCUGGGCAUGUCCUGACGCUGAGGAGCGAAAGUGUGGGGAGCGAACAGG